rnacentral:rRNA from 1 species
UGGCGAACGGGUGAGUAACACGUGGGUGAUCUGCCCUGCACUUUGGGAUAAGCCUGGGAAACUGGGUCUAAUACCGAAUACACCCUUCUGGCUGCAUGGUCUGGUUGGGGAAAGCUUUUGCGGUGUGGGAUGGGCCCGCGGCCUAUCAGCUUGUUGGUGAGGUUACGGCUCACCAAGGCGACGACGGGUAGCCGGCCUGAGAGGGUGACCGGCCACACUGGGACUGAGAUACGGCCCAGACUCCUACGGGAGGCAGCAGUGGGGAAUAUUGCACAAUGGGCGCAAGCCUGAUGCAGCGACGCCGCGUGAGGGAUGACGGCCUUCGGGUUGUAAACCUCUUUCGCCAGGGACGAAGCGCAAGUGACGGUACCUGGAGAAGAAGGACCGGCCAACUACGUGCCAGCAGCCGCGGUAAAUACGUAGGGUCCGAGCGUUGUCCGGAAUUACUGGGCGUAAAGAGCUCGUAGGUGGUUUGUCGCGUUGUUCGUGAAAACUCACAGCUCAACUGUGGGCGUGCGGGCGAUACGGGCAGACUGGAGUACUGCAGGGGAGACUGGAAUUCCUGGUGUAGCGGUGGAAUGCGCAGAUAUCAGGAGGAACACCGGUGGCGAAGGCGGGUCUCUGGGCAGUAACUGACGCUGAGGAGCGAAAGCGUGGGGAGCGAACAGGAUUAGAUACCCUGGUAGUCCACGCCGUAACGGUGGGUACUAGGUGUGGGUUCUUCCUUGGGAUCCGUGCCGUAGCUAACGCAUUAAGUACCCCGCCUGGGGAGUACGGCCGCAAGGCUAAAACUCAAAGAAAUUGACGGGGGCCCGCACAAGCGGCGGAGCAUGUGGAUUAAUUCGAUGCAACGCGAAGAACCUUACCUGGGUUUGACAUGCACAGGACGUGCCUAGAGAUAGGUAUUCCCUUGUGGCCUGUGUGCAGGUGGUGCAUGGCUGUCGUCAGCUCGUGUCGUGAGAUGUUGGGUUAAGUCCCGCAACGAGCGCAACCCUUAUCUUAUGUUGCCAGCGCGUAAUGGCGGGGACUCGUGAGAGACUGCCGGGGUCAACUCGGAGGAAGGUGGGGAUGACGUCAAGUCAUCAUGCCCCUUAUGUCCAGGGCUUCACACAUGCUACAAUGGCCGGUACAAAGGGCUGCGAUGCCGUGAGGUGGAGCGAAUCCUUUCAAAGCCGGUCUCAGUUCGGAUCGGGGUCUGCAACUCGACCCCGUGAAGUCGGAGUCGCUAGUAAUCGCAGAUCAGCAACGCUGCGGUGAAUACGUUCCCGGGCCUUGUACACACCGCCCGUCACGUCAUGAAAGUCGGUAACACCCGAAGCCGGUGGCCUAA